GAUGAACGCUGACAGAAUGCUUAACACAUGCAAGUCUACUUGACCCUUCGGGUGAUGGUGGCGGACGGGUGAGUAACGCGUAAAGAACUUGCCCUGCAGUCUGGGACAACAUUUGGAAACGAAUGCUAAUACCGGAUAUUAUGUGAGUUUCGCAUGAAAUUCAUAUGAAAGCUAUAUGCGCUGCAGGAGAGCUUUGCGUCCUAUUAGCUAGUUGGUGAGGUAACGGCUCACCAAGGCGAUGAUAGGUAGCCGGCCUGAGAGGGUGAACGGCCACAAGGGGACUGAGACACGGCCCUUACUCCUACGGGAGGCAGCAGUGGGGAAUAUUGGACAAUGGACCAAAAGUCUGAUCCAGCAAUUCUGUGUGCACGAUGAAGUUUUUCGGAAUGUAAAGUGCUUCCAGUUGGGACGAAGUAAGUGACGGUACCAACAGAAGAAGCGACGGCUAAAUACGUGCCAGCAGCCGCGGUAAUACGUAUGUCGCAAGCGUUAUCCGGAUUUAUUGGGCGUAAAGCGCGCCUAGGCGGUUUGGUAAGUCUGAUGUGAAAAUGCGGGGCUCAACUCCGUAUUGCGUUGGAAACUGCCAAACUAGAGUACUGGAGAGGUGGGCGGAACUACAAGUGUAGAGGUGAAAUUCGUAGAUAUUUGUAGGAAUGCCGAUGGGGGAGCCAGCCCACUGGACAGAUACUGACGCUAAAGCGCGAAAGCGUGGGUAGCAAACAGG
rnacentral:rRNA from 1 species